UGCUAGACUAUUAGGAAAUUUCUUAUCUUCUCCAUAUGAUUGUCAAGUUCCCUUGGAACAUGCUUUGACAUCACUUAUAUCUAUAGAGAAGGUAAUUCUCCAUGAUCCUGCUGUCUUAAAGAAAAAGCAACUACAUAUUUCUUUUCAUCUUCAAUCCAAGAUGAUUCAUAUCUAUUCUAUUCACUAGAAACAUGAUAGAUGUAAAAAAAAUCUAGGCGAGGACAAAAGAAAAUUGGAGCUUGGUCCAUGAAGAUUUUGUGUCAGUUUGGUGUGAUCGUUGACAGUGUUUGUUUAUUGAAGAUGAAGAAAAGAGGGGUUUUCAAAAUCAAGAGGAAGAGAUAACAUCUCCAACACAAGAGCAUGAUGGGGAAAUACAGAACUUGGAUCAACUCUUGGAUAUGGAGGAUGAUCAGUUAGGGUAUCAUAACCCAAUGCAGCAGUAGGAUCAUCAAUUGGGGCAUGAUGACCCCUUAAAGCAAGAGCAGCUAAUUGUUAGCUCUUAGAGCGUCCCGAGGUUGUCCUGCCCAUAUGGGCAGAUAUACAAAAAAUGUACUCAGACGAAUAAGAAACCUAAGAAACCUAAGAAGAAGACUCGUCUCUGUAAAGAAGUAGAUUUGGAAAAUAUUUCUACCCGUUGGCGUAAAAAGACCAUUGUGAACUCCACCCUUUCUUUCCAAAUCCAAGUUCAAAAGGGACAAUAUUAUUUCUAGGUUUCAUCUUGAAAGAGAGAAGGUAACUAAUUGACACAUUUUUUUUUGUUAUUUUAAGAGUGUGCAUGAUAAGUUAAUAAAUGUUGGAAAAUAUGGUUGACUUUGUUAUGUUUAUAGAAGUAGCAGGGGCGACAACAAAAUGAGUUAGGUAUGCACUACACUUGUGCCCAUGCAAUUUUUUUAUCUCGUUUGCAUGUCCUAUUUACACCACUGAAUGUUUUCUAUCUUGUAGGCUAAGGCAAUUCCACUGCACUUGUGCCAAAGCAAAUUUUUUUGCACAUUUUUUUUUUGUUUUAAGAGUGUGCAUGAUAAGUUAAUAGUAGAAAAUAUAGUUGUAUUUUCAAUUAAAUACAAAAUUGUUACUUUUGAUCAUAAUAUCUUCAAUUUCAAGAGCCAAUUUUUUUAUUAUUAAAAUUGUAGCAAUUUAUAGUAUUCUCCCUUCAACAAAGUUAUACUAUUCUUCAGCGAUUAGCUAGACUUAAUUUACACUAAUGCUACUUAAGUUAGAAUCCUCAAUAGUCUAGUGUUUCAGUACUUUAAGAGUUUUACUUAAGUUAAAUUUCUCAAACUCAAGUACAAGUUAACUCGAGUACUUGACUCUUGCUUACAAAUACUAUCUGUAUAAAAAAUGUCUUUUAAAUCAAGUUAAAAAAUGUUGAAUCGGUAAAUCGAAGGACACUAUAGCAAAUGGGUCAUUGUCGUACAAUACUUUGCAAGUGGAUUAUUUUUUGUAAUUAAUCAAUAAUUUUAGGUCAAUUUUGAAAAAAAAAAGCCAAAAAAAAAGGAAUGGAAAUGUAUUGAAGCUAGACCUGAUCAUGGCCCACUAGAAAAAUGAGAGGGUUUGGAAAAAAUAUAGUCCUGAAAAUGGGCUUGGAUAAAAAUAAGGCUCGUUUUUUAAAUGGGCCUAGCUUCGGACAAUAUAUUUUUGGCCCGGCCCAGUCCAAAUAAAUUUAAUAUUUUUUUAAUCCCAAAUAUGGUUUUAGGCUAGAGUUGUCCAUGGGUCGAGCCACCCGAAUAGGCCUGAGGGCUCACUUGGAAAAUGGAAGGGUUUGGACAAAAAUAUAGCCUUGAAAUAUGGGCUUUGACAAAAAAUAAGGCCCCUCUUCUAAACUAACACAACAGUGAGAUCUGAGAAGUGAGAACCCGUCACCUAUUGGCCACCAACCUACCACCAUCAGCGGUUGUUGAUAAUACUCUAGAAUGACAUAUUUUUAUGUAUUAAUUACAUAUAUAUUUUGAGUAUGAUCCUACUAAUUUGAGCUAUUUAUGGCUUUCUAUCUUGUAGGGACUAAAUUGAAGGCAAAAGGAAAUUUAAGGGCAAAAAGCAUGAAUUUAAAGAUAAAAUGGGCCAGCAUGCAAAAUAGGAAAGAAGUGGUGUCGAAAAUGCAAAGUGUGGAAGACUUGGGGGCAAAAUUUCAAAGAAGAGAUUUUAUAAAUACAAGACUCUAUUUAAAUUUGAAUUAUAUUAGGACUAUUGUUAAAAUUAUUAUUUAGAUUUAAUUUCAACUUUUAUCUUUAUUUUUCUUUAUUUAUCUUUUAGAAUUUAAAUAGGAACAAACUAGGUUUUCUAAGUACUAUAAAUAGAGGAUGGAGUGACACAAAUUCCACUUAUCUUUUCUGUAAAAGCUCCCUCUCCCAAAAAGCUCUAGC